UUAUUACUCCCUCCGUCCAACAAAGAAUGUCUCAACUUUAACUAAAUUUGAAUGCGUCUAUACACUAAAUCAUGUCUAGAUACAUUCAAAUUUUCACAAACUUGAGACAUCUUUUGUUGGACGGAGGGAGUAUACA
rfam:Brachypodium distachyon strain Bd21 chromosome 1, whole genome shotgun sequence.